rnacentral:rRNA from 1 species
UGGGGGAAUAUUGGGCAAUGGGGCGAAAGCCUGACCCAGCAACGCCGCGUGGAGGAAGAAGGUUUUCGGAUUGUAAACUCCUGUCGUUAGGGACGAUAAUGACGGUACCUAACAAGAAAGCACCGGCUAACUACGUGCCAGCAGCCGCGGUAAAACGUAGGGUGCAAGCGUUGUCCGGAAUUACUGGGUGUAAAGGGAGCGCAGGCGGGCAUGCAAGUUGGAAGUGAAAACUAUGGGCUCAACCCAUAGCCUGCUUUCAAAACUGCGUGUCUUGAGUAGUGCAGAGGUAGGCGGAAUUCCCGGUGUAGCGGUGGAAUGCGUAGAUAUCGGGAGGAACAUCAGUGGCGAAGGCGGCCUACUGGGCACCAACUGACGCUGAGGCUCGAAAGCAUGGGUAGCAAACAGGAUUAGAUACCCUGGUAGU